ACGCCUGGACUGCAUCAGCAGGACCUGCCCGCUGCCCCAGGGGGCAGUGCUCGGCCCGCGACGCGUCCUGAGAGGCUGCGGAGUUGUCAUGCUCCUCAGGUCUUCAGAUGAUGAGCCCAAACCAAGGGCAAGUUUUCACACACCCCGCGACGCUCGAGGCUUCAGACUAGACCCGGGCUCUGAAUUAAACGUGUUUCAAGCCCGCUAGGACUUUUCAAAGAAAACUGGACCUCAACUUAUUAAAAAAAAAUAGAAAGCCCACACCCUUCAGGGAGAGGAUUCCUGGGGCUUUGGAAUUCAACACCUUUGUCCUGACUUCACCCCUACCAGUUGUGCAACCAGAGCCUUGGCCUCUGAGGAAGACAUUUUUGAUGGUGCCGUUUCAAGACAGCACGGGCUGCCGCAUUAGGAGGUGGAUAUUUAGCCGGAGAGGCAUUCAAGCGGACACAAAACAGCAAAGGGUGCAGGCCUAGGAUGGUUCAGUCAUUCAUUUAUGGAAACAGAGGAGGUGGAACUAGAUUGUGUCUUAAGAGUCCAACCAGCUCUUCUCUUCUAUGUGGAAACAACCAGCCACAGACCUCGUUCUUUCUUCUGUUCUUCCCCUUCACUGAAACAACACACACUUGGAAGUUACAUGAUGAACUGACACACAGCACUUCAACUUGUCUGUAUUGAUAUAGAAUCAUUGACUUAAGCUGGAAUGUUGUAAGAUGAACAAUCUUAACAUUUGCUCAAAAUCGUUAUUUUAAGAAGUAUCCAAAAUCUACUAAAGGCACAGAAUAAAUACACUAUCAUCCAGAUACAGUAUUCUGGUGUUCUCUUCUCAAUGUACAAAUAUGAACGUGAGUGGAUGGUGGGCCACAAGGUAGAGACAACCUGA